ACGGAAGAUCCAAGCGUUAUCCGGAUUUAUUGGGUUUAAAGGGAGCGUAGGCGGAAGUUCAAGUCAGUUGUGAAAGUCUGUGGCUUAACCAUAGAAUUGCAAUUGAAACUGAAUUUCUUGAGUGUAGAUAAGGAUGGUGGAAUUUGUGGUGUAGCGGUGAAAUGCUUAGAUAUCACGAAGAACUCCAAUUGCGAAGGCAGCCAUCCGGGCUACAACUGACGCUGAGGCUCGAAAGUGCGGGAAUCAAACAG
rnacentral:rRNA from 1 species